UGCACCCACCUCGGCCGGCAAGGAA
rnacentral:piRNA from 1 species